UCGAAAUUUUUGCGGCGGAAAUAUUUGGUGUGUUUAUUGAACCGAUUAAUAAUUUGAUCUUUGAAGAAAUGUACAGCAACUAAACGUGUAGCCCAUAAGAGUUUAUGAAAGAUUUCAGACCUGUGAAUUAUUAUCCGUUAGCUUUGAAAUAUUUUGAACCAAUUUUUAAAGUAGGGAGUUAAGCCAUGAUAGGUCCAAGUUUAAGAAUGUUAGAUACUUUAAUGAAGGCAGUCACCACAUCGACACGUUACCACCAUUGGACGACCUUUUAAGCUAUCAUCAUUUAAAUAUGUCAAAGUUUGCCGCAUAAUUUUUUAAUACGUAAGUAUGCUGAAAAUAUGUCAGUGACAGAUACAUAGGAUGUAGGAUGCAAAUUUCAAGUAAGACUGACUUUGGGCUAGCACUGAUGUCACCGGUAUCAAGGAACAACUUAAUUGAUUUCAGGGAAAAGGAUCUGCAGUGAAUAUCUUAUUGUAACCCUUGUGUAAGUGAUACUUCAUCCAUUGACAAUGCUAGUGUGUCCAUCAUUUUAUGGGUCAGCUCUGAAUAUUUUAUGUGUUGAAAAUUCUCAAUUCCACCCAUGGACUCUGCUUCAUCCAUAAAUAUCACCAAGGCAGGGAAGUUAGGAUUUCUACCACACUGUUGUAAGAACCACUGGCAGAACAUUACUCACCGAGUAAUGUUGUAGUUACACGCUGCAGAUGGAGUUUCAGUCACAACAUCCAGAAUAUCCUCUGCUUCAGGAGUCACAGAUUAUGCUCACCCCAUUGGGAACACAAGGUGCAAAAUUCCCAUGUUCACAAAGUUGGCAAUGGAUACUUAGAAAUGUUUUCCUAUCUGGACAUGUUCAUCCUGGAUACCUUUCUUGGUACAAUCGAGUCACCACAGCAUUACUGUCUGCCAAACAGAACAUGAAGUGCACAUCAGCUAGCUCUUGAUUUGAGUACAUCAUCUCAGCAACUUGCAGUCACCACAUAAUUACUGUACAAUUCUACUAAGAUUUGGAAGCUAUCUGAGAUUGUGUCAGAUUGAUACCACGACUGUCUUAGUGUAGUGAAUGACAGAAACCAUCUGUGGGAGUUACAAAAUUGAACUUAUCAUUCAGCAGUUUUAGAAAGCCUUGAUUUGGAAACUGCUUUUCCGGAACUAUGUUGAUAUGGACUGUUUUUAUUAUCUUUAUAUGAGGAACCCAUUCCUGAAGUUAUGCCAUGUAUUUUUUAAAUUGUACUCUGUAUAACAUUAAUUCUUUUAUGAAAGGUACUUGAGUUAAGUUACAUACAUAAUAUUUUUGAGUAGGAUUGCUUUUCUGUGUUUCAGCUUCUGUCAUCAGAGUAUUCAUUCUUUUGUUAAUUACUCAUACACUCUGAUAAUAUGUCAUAUUUUGAUUUCAGUGUUAAUUAAGUUCCAUUUUGAAUUAUGAUCCAAGUAUGGUUCCAGUAUUUAAUAUUAAUAUGAUGUAAGAUAUAUAUAAUUGUUCAUUCAGUUUUUCUUUCCUAAUGUAUUAGGCUUACAUCAACAGACCCAGCUGUAGGCAUGGCUACACUUUACUGUUUAUCAGAAUGGGACAGUUCAUAUGUGUGAACUUCUUACUGUGAAAUAAAACAGGAAAAAUUUUGU